UGACCUGCAAGUGUCUUCCCUGCCUGGAACACAUACUUCUUUAUAUGCCCAUAUGAACCUAAACAACUAUGGAAUGUAAAGAAGUAUGUAUUUCUGGUGGGCAAUGAACAACCAUGAAGAA
rnacentral:precursor_RNA from 17 species